CAGGUCUAGGAUCUGUCUCCCCUCUUCCUCACCUCUGCAGGUCUAGGAUCUGUCUCUCCUCUUCCUCACCUCUGCAGGUCUAGGAUCUGUCUCCCCUCUUCCUCACCUCUGCAGGUCUAGGAUCUGUCUCUCCUCUUCCUCACCUCUGCAGGUCUAGGAUCUGUCUCUCCUCUUCCUCACCUCUGCAGGUCUAGGAUCUGUCUCCCUCUUCCUCACCUCUGCAGGUCUAGGAUCUGUCUCUCCUCUUCCUCACCUCUGCAGGUCUAGGAUCUGUCUCUCCUCUUCCUCACCUCUGCAGGUCUAGGAUCUGUCUCCCCUCUUCCUCACCUCUGCAGGUCUAGGAUCUGUCUCUCCUCUUCCUCACCUCUGCAGGUCUAGGAUCUGUCUCCCCUCUUCCUCACCUCUGCAGGUCUAGGAUCUGUCUCCCCUCUUCCUCACCUCUGCAGGUCUAGGAUCUGUCUCCCCUCUUCCUCACCUCUGCAGGUCUAGGAUCUGUCUCCCCUCUUCCUCACCUCUGCAGGUCUAGGAUCUGUCUCCCCUCUUCCUCACCUCUGCAGGUCUAGGAUCUGUCUCCCCUCUUCCUCACCUCUACAGGUCUAGGAUCUGUCUCUCCUCUUCCUCACCUCUGCAGGUCUAGGAUCUGUCUCCCCUCUUCCUCACCUCUGCAGGUCUAGGAUCUGUCUCUCCUCUUCCUCACCUCUGCAGGUCUAGGAUCUGUCUCCCCUCUUCCUCACCUCUGCAGGUCUAGGAUCUGUCUCUCCUCUUCCUCACCUCUGCAGGUCUAGGAUCUGUCUCUCCUCUUCCUCACCUCUGCAGGUCUAGGAUCUGUCUCUCCUCUUCCUCACCUCUGCAGGUC
rnacentral:lncRNA from 1 species